GAUGAACGCUGGCGGCGUGCCUAAUACAUGCAAGUCGAGCGAACGGACGCGAAGCUUGCUUCUCUGAUGUUAGCGGCGGACGGGUGAGUAACACGUGGAUAACCUACCUAUAAGACUGGGAUAACUUCGGGAAACCGGAGCUAAUACCAGAUAAUAUUUUGAACCGCAUGGGUCAAAAGUGAAAGACGGUCUUGCUGUCACUUAUAGAUGGUUCCGAGCUGCAUUAGCUAGUUGGUAAGGUCACGGCUUACCAAGGCAAGGAUGCAUAACAGACCUGAGAGGGUGAUAGGCCACACGGGAGCUGAGACACGGUCCAGACGCCUACGGGAGGCAGCAGUAGGGAAUCUGCCGCAAUGGGCGAAAGCCUGACGGAGCAACGCCGCGUGAGUGAUGAAGGUCUUCGGAGCGUAAAACUCUGUUAUUAGGGAAGAACAUAUGUGUAAGUAACUGUGCACAUCUUGACGGUACCUAAUCAGAAAGCCACGGCUAACUACGUG
rnacentral:rRNA from 1 species